AUAACGCUUGAGGCUGCCACGCUGUUCACAAAAAUAAUUGUUAUUUAUUAUUGUUAAUUAAUUUUCACAAAUUUACAAUACAAUUACAAUAUGUAUUUAUAUAUAUAUAUACACAUUUUUAAAUUGUGUAAAUUACAGAGCCUAGGCCUAAUUUUUAAAACUUUAAAGUUUUAAAAUUUAUUUGUAGACAAUCUGGCAGGCCCCACUCAGUCAUGAAUUCAGGACAUGUGGCAGCACCAAAUUAGUUGAUCGCGCGUAUUUCUAUUAAAGUUUUGUGUGAUUAUGUUUUGAGUUAAAAGUGGAAAUAAUUUAAGGCCACAAAACCUUGGCAAUAACUUUACGCUUCACUGGGUUAGCAGGCGACAGCAGAUGACAACAAGGAGCACCACCAGCAGCAGCUGGAGCAGCUGAAACAGGAACGGCAAUCAGCUAAAGCUCGGUCAAUUUAAUGGAAGUAGCCAUGUCCAGGCCACAUUUAUGACAAACUGGCUGCUUAGUAUGAAGCCAGAAAGCAAAGCAGUCAAGGAGUUGCCUGCAGUCAGCGCUAAUAUAUCACGACUCGCUUUCUUUACACAUAUGCCACAUAUAAAUACACUGAGAGAAAUGUGUGUCACUUGAGUGCAGUUUAGUAAGUAAAUUAUCAAUGAAUCAAGUAA